UACGUAGGGUGCGAGCGUUGUCCGGAAUUAUUGGGCGUAAAGAGCUCGUAGGCGGCUUGUCACGUCGGGUGUGAAAGCCCGGGGCUUAACCCCGGGUCUGCAUUCGAUACGGGCAGGCUAGAGUUCGGUAGGGGAGAUCGGAAUUCCUGGUGUAGCGGUGAAAUGCGCAGAUAUCAGGAGGAACACCGGUGGCGAAGGCGGAUCUCUGGGCCGAUACUGACGCUGAGGAGCGAAAGCGUGGGGAGCGAACAGG
rnacentral:rRNA from 1 species